AUGAGUUCGAUGCAUUCCUCGCUUCUGCAUGCAUUGGMUUUUUCGUGUGUUUUGGAUAAUAAUGAGGAAACUAAUAUGGACUAGUGGCUUUUUGAAGCAGCUGAAGACRUUAAAUUUUUGUAUCGCCACYAAUCGACCUUUUAUUUAUACAGUUUCUGAAUGCMAAAAAUAASCGAAAAGUUCCAAUUUCAACACACUGUAUCUGGUAACCGCUGCGUUUUCAGGAAUAUGUUCCUGAAACAAAAAUGCUUGCAAAWWCAAAAAUGAUGUCCUCUAACAUAUCUACAAAUUUGCCGGUAUAUAGUAUGAGACACCCUGUAUAAUCUGAGAUUAUGCCGUCUCUAGACUUCACAGAAACAUAUACUCAAAUAUAUUUUUUAUUUAA